AUUUUUUAGUCAAGUAUGAUUUC
rnacentral:tRNA from 1 species